AACGACUCUCGGCAACGGAUAUCUCGGCUCUCGCAUCGAUGAAGAACGUAGCGAAAUGCGAUACUUGGUGUGAAUUGCAGAAUCCCGUGAACCAUCGAGUCUUUGAACGCAAGUUGCGCCCGAGGCCACCAGGCCGAGAGCACGUCUGGCUGGGUGUCACGCAUCG
rnacentral:rRNA from 1 species